rnacentral:rRNA from 1 species
GAUGAACGCUAGCGGCAGGCUCAAUACAUGCAAGUCAAGGGGGUAGCAAUACAACCGGCGCACGGGUGAGUAACGCGUACACAACAUACCAUAUACUGGAGUAUAGCUUUGGGAAACUGAAGGUAAUCCUCCAUAACAUUGCGAGAGGGCAUCUGAUUGCAAUUAAAGUUUCGGCGGUAUAUGAUUGGUGUGCGUUUGAUUAGCUAGUUGGUAGGGUAACGGCCUACCAAGGCGACGAUCAAUAGCUGGCGUGAGAGCGCGACCAGCCACACUGGAACUGAGACACGGUCCAGACUCCUACGGGAGGCAGCAGUAGGGAAUAUUGGACAAUGGAGGAAACUCUGAUCCAGCCAUGCCGCGUGAUAGAUGAAGGCCCUCUGGGUUGUAAAUAUCUUUUAUCUGGGAAGAAACACUCCUAUUCUUAGGAACUUGACGGUACCAGAGGAAUUAAGCACCGGCUAACUCCGUGCCAGCAGCC